rnacentral:rRNA from 1 species
CGCGGCCUAUCAGCUUGUUGGUGAGGUAACGGCUCACCAAGGCUUUGACGGGUAGCCGGCCUGAGAGGGUGACCGGCCACAUUGGGACUGAGAUACGGCCCAGACUCCUACGGGAGGCAGCAGUGGGGAAUAUUGCACAAUGGGCGGAAGCCUGAUGCAGCAACGCCGCGUGCGGGAUGACGGCCUUCGGGUUGUAAACCGCUUUCGCCUGUGACGAAGCGUGAGUGACGGUAAUGGGUAAAGAAGCACCGGCUAACUACGUGCCAGCAGCCGCGGUGAUACGUAGGGUGCGAGCGUUGUCCGGAUUUAUUGGGCGUAAAGGGCUCGUAGGUGGUUGAUCGCGUCGGAAGUGUAAUCUUGGGGCUUAACCCUGAGCGUGCUUUCGAUACGGGUUGACUUGAGGAAGGUAGGGGAGAAUGGAAUUCCUGGUGGAGCGGUGGAAUGCGCAGAUAUCAGGAGGAACACCAGUGGCGAAGGCGGUUCUCUGGGCCCUUCCUGACGCUGAGGAGCGAAAGCGUGGGGAGCGAACAGGCUUAGAUACCCUGGUAGUCCACGCUGUAAACGGUGGGUACUAGGUGUGGGGUCCAUUCCACGGGUUCCGUGCCGUAGCUAACGCUUUAAGUACCCCGCCUGGGGAGUACGG